GAGGGCGGGCGGGCUCCCGGCUUCAGGCUCGGCGCAGUCUGCGGGCGGGAGGGCGCCGAAGAGGUGGCGAGGGCCGCGGGCGCGGGGGCGCGGGAGCCCCGGCCGAGCCGGGGGACCGGAGCGCGCCCCCUCCCAGCGUCCGAACGCGGCAACUUCCCGCGGCCCAGGACGGAGUUUCUCCGUUGCCCGUGGACCUCUAGGGAGCGGUGUGGAGGGCAAGCAAGGUAACUCCCACUCCCACCUCACCUUUAUCGCGGGGAGGCAGAGGAGCCAGCAAGCCCGGAUUCGCUGGGGGGGCUCCACGCGGGGCCACCCACGCACAGACUGCUUCGGGAAAAAUGAGACAUCCACCGACUGCCCCUGAGGUUCGAAGCACGAUGGAGGCAGAAGCCAGCCAUUCGCACACCCUUGGGUCAACACUGCUGGGAUCUCUUCUGCUUUCCGUAGCAGUGGCCUCUGGGACUCUCCAGGUGGACAUGAGACCCAAGACAGGCCUGCAAAGGGAAUCCCUUGCAGGGGACUCAAGACUGAGAACGAACUGACUGAUACCAAUUGAACCCAGCAGCUGCUCAAUGAGAUUAGAAGCUCCUGCCACCUGGAUCGCUGAAAAGAUUGCUGUCUGCUCACCUCUGAGCCACAAGUCUGAGAUCUUUGGUACCUGGAAACUUCCUUCCACCUCAGAAGCUGCUACGGGCGAUCCCAAGGCAACUUGCUAGCUGUGAACCUGUCCUUCACCCAAUUCUGGAGCAACGCUGGGCCCCAUCCAGACCCACUGAGGGAGAAACUCUGAUGAGGGAGCCCGGCAGCCUGCGCUCUCAUUUGCUUCCCAAGGGACUCCAAGGGUCUUUGAUUUAUUUCCGUCUUGCUGACAUGAAGCCUAUGCCUCUGUCCAGGGCAUCCCACAGGGGACUUCACCUCAGAGCCUCACCCGCAAGGAAAUGGGGAUGUGCAGAGGUGAUGUCACUACAUCCUGUGGCCCAGCUCAGCUGGAGAGGACAGGACAAACUGGGGAAAAGAGCCGACUAAAAAGUGGAGCUAGGACAAGGAAAAUCAGGAGAAGCCAACACCUUCUUCAGAGAAGUUGUAAGGGAUCAAGAGAGAGUCCUUAAUGAGACAUCAAAAAUCAAGGCUGGCGGGAAGCUGCAGACCUGAACUCUGGUCAAAUCUGACAGUACCUAAGAAAGCUAAAAUAUUCAGUCUGUUGACUCUACUGAAGUCUAGAGAGGAACCAGGACUAAAUAAAUAAAGGAUGAAAGCUCUGGUAAUUAAGGUACCAUGAACAGCUGCCCCUCAUCCAUGCCACCCUGCCUUGGGACCAGCUGAGUAUAGACUGAAACCUCCAAAAACUAAGCUAAAGAAGGAUUUACUUGCUUCACUUUGGGAAUCGAGUACUUUAUCUCAAUGAGAGAAAAGUAAUCAAGACAACUGGAUAAUAGUGAGAAGGCCAGACACAACAUUUUUCUGGGGCAAUGUUGCUGUGCUUUAGGUCAAAAUGGCAGCAAGUGAUCCCACCUCCACUGGGUUAGCUGGAAGAAACAUUCCUGCAAAAUGCCCCCAACACAGCACUGAGUUCUGCAAUGUGAAGAGUGGAGGCCUCUGUGCAAUGUCAACUCAGACCCACUGGAGAUUCUGAGAGCCUAAGGGAGAAACUUGGGACUCGGGUAUUUGGGGGCAACCCUCUUGGUUGGAAGGUGUAAAAAAUGAAAUACUGGAAUCCCAAAAGAUAUAUCAAACUACUCUAUAGCACAAAUUUUUGUUUCUCCUCAAAGAUCCACAUUCUCACCAGCAUUUCUAGACCUCUUUGAUUAUUUGGGGCCACAUGGCUGGUAGGAGUGGCAGAUCUUGCUUCCAAGAUGAGAUAUGGAAGAGCUUCACUUGAAAUAUCAACUCACUCUUUCCUCCUGAUGCAGGGGCCAUGGAGCCACAUGAAAUGUCAAAGGAGGAUAUGCUGUAGAGACUCCACACACCUAAGCUAGACAUACUGUGAACACACAGUAAGCCUGGGAUACGUAGAGCCCCUGUGACGUCAGAGCACAUUUGUUCCUGAAUCUUAUGCCCCACCUGGUAGAGUAUACACACACCUCAGUUCUGAGUAGUGCCUGUAAUCAGACUGGAAGACAAUAACACCUCUGCCCACGUGUAAUCCUUAGGAUGUCACUCCUCUGUGUGUCAUUAUCCAAAUUCAGAGACACGGAUAAAUUGACCUUUCUGAGUGCCACCUGUCAUUCUGCAAAGCCUGGGUAUCUAUGAGGCCACCUUCUGAUGAUGGUACACCUCAUGGCUAAUGCCAUUAGCUUGCCAUGGUUAUCAGUUCAGGACUACAGAGACCCCUUGACUGAGAAUGGUGGCAUCUUAUGAUAGUUUCAUGCAUGCGGAAGAAGGAAACGUAAAGAUGAAGACAGGCCAGAUAACCAGGCCUAUGACUUUGGGGGCAAGUCCUUUGAGCACUCUGGAUCUUGGGCUUCUUUGGAUACCAUCAAAUAUGACCAAAUACAACCUACUCCACCUCUUGUCUGGGUUAUAACAAAACCAAAUGAGAUCAUGGUUGAAAACUUCAAGAGAAAGAGAUAACAAUCAUAAGCAUAUAUGCACCAAAUAUAGAAGCUACAAAUUAUGAGACAAAUAUUAAUAGAUAUGAAAAAUCAAAUAAGCAAUAACAUAAUUAUAACAGCAAACCUUAAUAACCCACUGUCACAAAGAGAUCAACUAGACAAAAAAAUCAGCAAAGAGGGCCAGGGAUAUAGCUCAAUGGCACAGAGCCUACCUGGCAAGCAAGAGUUAUGAGUUCAAACCCCAGUACCAAAAAAAAUAAAAAAUCGGCAAACAACAGAACUGAAUCAAACCUGUGGACAAAUGAACUUAAAUGUCUACAUAGUUUUCUACCCAACAACAUUAAAAAACACAUUCUUUUCAGCUGCACAUGGGACAUUCUCUAAAACUGACCAUAUCCUAGCCCAUAGAACAUGCUUAAGUAAAUGCAAAGGAAUCAAAAUUAUCCAGUGCAUAUUAUAUGACCAUAGAGCAAUGAAAUUGGAAAUUAAUGGUAAAAGAAACUGCAUGAACUCCAUAAACACAUGGAAAUUAAUACUCUCCUGAACAAUCAAUGAGUCACAGAUGAAAUUAAAUAAUAUCUAAAAUAAAACAAAUACAAUUUAUGGGAACCUGUGGGAUGCAUUGAAAACAGUCAUAACAAGGAGAUUCAUAAUGGUGAACUCUCACAUCAGAAAAACAGAAUGAGCACAACCAAACAACCUAAUGCGGCACCUCAAGCUUCUAGAAAAAGAAGAGCAAAUCAACCUAAAGCCCAUACAAGAGAAGCAAUUAUAAAGAUCAAAGCAGAAAUUAACACAAUUGAGAAAAACAAUGCAAAGAAUUAAGGAAAGAGUUGAUUUUUUUGAAAGAGUGAAUAAAAUUGAUAAACCCCUAUCCAACUUUAUAAAAAAAACCCUCAAAUCCAAGCAAUAAGGAAUGAAAAUGGUCAAAUCACUGCAGACCCUGUGGAAAUUCAGAAGAUCAUCAAUACCUACUUCAAAAAUCUUUACUUUCAGCAGUUGGAAAGCACAGAAGAAACGGACAGAUUCCUAGAAAUGUAUGAACUACCAAAGCUGAAUCAAGAAGGUAUAAAAUUCUGAAUAACCUGAUAUCAAUUAAUGAAACUGAAACAUAAUAAAAAAUUAACAACAAAGAAGAUCCAUGGUCUUGAUGGAUCCAUGGCUGAAUUCUACAAGAAAUUUAGAGAAGAUUUGAUGCCAAUACUCCUCCAACUCUUUAAUGAAAUUGAAAGUGAAACAAUUCUCCCUCACUCAUUCUUGGAGGCAAGUCUUACUCUGAUAUGAAACCCAGAGAAAGAACCAACCAAAAAAGAUAGCUACAACAAUGUAUACAAAUCAAUAAACAUAAUACACGAUAUCAACAGAGCCAAAGACAAAAAUAACAUGGUCAUCUCAAUAGAUGCAGAAAAAUUUUUUUGUUUUGUUUUGGUUUUUUGGUACCAGGAAUCAAAUUCAGAACCUACCUUGCACUUGCCAGGUAGGUGCUUAUGCCACUAAGCUAUAUCCCUGGCCCCAGAAAAAUAUUCUGAUAAAGUCUAACACUCAUUCAUGAUAAAAAUCCUACAGAAAAUUGGAAUAGAUUGUCUUUACUUCAACCUGAUAAAAGCCAUCUAUGACAAAACAACAGCCAACAUCUUACUAAAUGGACAAAAACUAAAAACUUUCACUCUAAAAUCAUGAACAAGACAAGAUUGUCUACUAUUACUACUCCCAUUCAAUAUAGUUCUGGAAACACUAGCCAAGGCAAUCAGACAAGUGAAAAAUAAAAGGAAUACAGAUAGGAAAGGAAGAAGUUAAAUUAUCAUUAUUUGCAGAUGACAUGAUGCUUUACAUAAAAGACCCCAAAAACUCCACUGAAAGACUUCUAGAACUAAUAACCAAAUUCAGUACUAUAGCUGGAUACAAAGUUAGUACUCAAAAAUCAAUAGCAUUCCUGUACACAAACAACAAACUCACUGAGAAAGAAAUUAGUGAAACCACAAGCUUCACAAUAACAUCCAAAAAAAUGAAUUACUUAGGAAUCAGUCUAACAAAGGAAAUAAAAGAUAUCUACGUGGAAAAUUACAGCACUCUGAGAAAAGGAAGUUGAAGAGGAUAUCAGAAAAUGGAAAGAUUUCCUUGUUCAUGGAUAAGAAGAACCAACGUAAUGAAAAUGGCCAUUCUCCCAAAACUGUUACACAGAUUGAAUGCAAUCGCUAUCAAAAUAUCAUUAAGUACCUCACAGAUCUAGAGAUAUCAUUCCUAAAAUUCAUCUGGAACCAGAAGAAAUGUAGAAUAGCAAAAGCAAUCCUGGGCAACAAAGAUAAGGCAGGAGACGUCAUAACCCCUGACUUGAAAUUUUACUACAAAGCUACUAUGAUAAAAUCAGUAUGGUACUAGCAAAACAAAAACAGACGUGCGGCUCAGCACAACAGAUUAGAAGAUGCAGAAAUAACUACAAACACACUCAGUCACCUUAUCUUUGACAAAGAAGCCAAAUAUGUUUACUGGGAAAAAACCUCUUUAACAAAUGGUGCUGGAAAAACUAGACUCAUGUCUAUCACCAUGAGUGAUAGACUCACUAAACUAAAGUCAAAAUGUAUAAAAGAUCUAAAUAGUAAGACAGAAACAAUAAAUCUGCUGGAAGACAAAGCUGGUAGAAAUCUAGAAGAUAUAGGAGUGGGCAGAGAGUUAAUGAGCAAAAACGAAACUGCACGGGAAGUAUUUCAAUGAAUAAACAACUGGGAUCUCAUCCUAUUAAAAAGUUUUUGCACACCAAAAGAAUUCACCAACAGUGUGAAAAGAAAAUCCAUGAAUUGGGAAAAAAUUUUAGCCAGCUAUCCCUCAGACAAAGGGCUUUUAUUUAGAACAUAUAAAGAGAAAAAAUCAGGCCCCCCAAAUUCAAAGACCCAAUCCAAAAAUGGGCAUCUGAGAUGAAUACACAUUUUCCAGAUGAAGAAAUACAAAUAGUAAAUAAAUAUAUGAAAAAAUGUUCAACAUCAUUGGUCUUCUGAGAAAUGCAAAUUAAAACAACACUGAGAUUCCAUCUCACCCCAGAAAGAAUGACUAUCAUCAAGAAAUCAACCAAUAACAAAUGCUGUUGGGGUUGUGAGGAAAAAGGAACCCUUCUCCACUCUUGGUGGGAGUGUAGACUGGUGCACCCCAUCUGGAAAUCAGUGAGGAGAUUCCUCAGAAAACUAAGAUUAGAGGUCCCAUUUGACCCAGCUAUUUCUCUUCUGGGUAUUUUCUCUGAAGAAUUAAAAACAUCAUAUCAUAGUGACAUAUGUGCACCCAUAUUUAUAACAGCACAAUUUGUAAUAGCUAAUCUUGGAAACAAUAUAAAUGCCCAUCAACUGAGGAAUGGAUAAAAAAGAUGUGGUAUUUUUAUAUAAUGGAGUACUACUCAGCUAUAAAGAAGAAUAAACUUGAGGCUUUGAUAGGUAAAUGGACACAACUAGAGACUACUUAUAAGUGAAAUAAAUCAAAUUCACAUGCAUAAACAUCAUUUUGUCUCUCUGGUGUAAAAAACUAAAAGAGUAAAUAAGAUACAAAAUCUGCAAUAGAUAUUGAGAAAGGGAAAGAAACUAUUCAAAAGAAAAGAACAACUGGGAUGGGGGAAAGGAGAAAAGAAGGAAAGAAAAAGAAAAAAUUCAUAUGAUAGCCAACAUAAUUAUACUACUAAUUUCUUCUAGUUCAUUGAAAAGAUUGGUCUGCGCUUAUAUUGAUUGAUCAAUUUUGUUUGCCUGUAUCUUGUAAUCUGAGCAACUAUUUUAAAGACAACCAUAUGCAGUGUAUUAACUAUUGUCAAUUUCCUGUUACCUUGUUUUGAAAUUUUACAUCAUUGUUUUUUAUUUCUUCUCUCUCUCUCUCUCUCUCUCUUUAAAAUAACAUAAAAAUUAAAAAAUAAUAAUCCCAGGGCAAAGGGGUGUAGCUCAAUGGGAGAACUUCAUACAUAUGAGUCCUGGGGUUUGAUCCUUAGCAUCAUGGAAUAAAUAAGUAAAUAUUUAUUAACAGCAAAACAACCAGGUUCAAACAAAGCAACUAGUAAGACAUGCCUGAGACAUUUGAGGAAAUUCAAUAAGACUCACUCUAUUAUGAUGCUAAAGAAUUGCUAUUGUGUGAUAAUGGUCUGGUGGUUAUAUAAAAAGUCUUAUUUUUUAGGAAGUCCUAAAGUAUUUAGGGAUGGAAUUCACGUUUGCAAUUGGCUUUGAAAUGCUUUUGCCAAAAAUAAAUAAAUAAAUCAGCAGAUACAGGAAAGAACUGC